AUGGGAAGCAGAAACGAGGGAAGAGGAUUGAAGAUGAACCCACGUUUUAAAAGUCCUUGUCUGCAGGAGGUGGCAUUACCUGUGACCUCGCUUCACUUCUUCAUACAUGGCUGUUGUAGCAGUCUUUCUUCUGCUUCCCUUGUCACACCAUUAGCAAUAUCCCUGGGUAAGUCACCUGGGAUUAGGUUUAAAAACCAUCUUGACAUUUUUCUGCUUACAUUGGAUGAACUUAGACUGAGAUUUCUUUAAAUAUUUAAUUUAUUUGUUUUGCUGAAGGGUAAAUUCUAGAAGAACUUCUAAUGGCCUUUCCUUUGCACAGUUCACCUGAAUUCUUUUUGUUCUCAAAAGAAAGACCCUGCUUUCAGACAUAAAAGUUAUGAUAGUAAAAUUCUUGAAAUAAUUUUGUGCCCCAUGGUAAUUCUAUGUUUAAAUAGUUGAAGCAUUGCCAAACUGUUUUCCAUGGCAGUUGCAUAUUUUGAAUUCAGGUCAGCACAGUUCCUACACCCUCACCAAUUGUUGUACUUUCCUUUCCUUUAUUUUUUACAUUAUAGUGGGCAUAAAGAGGUAUUGCUUAGUGGUUUUAAUUUACAAUUCUGUUUUGACUGUUAUGUAUCUUUUCAUGUUCUUACCGGCCAUUUAUAUAUCUUCUUGUGAGAAAUGUAUAUUCAAGUCCUUUUCCUAUUUUUUGAAUUGGGUUGUCAUUUCAUUCUUGGGUUCUUUAUGUACUAUAGAUCCUAGAACUUUGGAAGAUAAAUAAUUUG
rnacentral:lncRNA from 1 species